ACAGCUGAUAUUGGGAUAAAUGGGAAAAGGGCAGUGUUGCUGCAAAGAUCAAGUAGAUAAAGUAUGAAAAGUGCUCUGACCUACACAGAUACAAAGUGAGCUUGUCGGCACUGGGGAGCUAAUCAGGAAAAGGACUGAUGGAAAGAGGAAGAGAGAACAUCUCUGUGGCAAAUCCCUCGUGACUGAGGACCGCAUAUCUGUUUCAUGAGAAUGGAAAAACACCAGCCAAAUCAAAGUUAACAACUGUGCAGCUGGGCAAACUCAGAUUAAGCUGAAUUUGGAAAUGG